rnacentral:rRNA from 1 species
GACAGAGGGUGCAAACGUUGUUCGGAAUUACUGGGCGUAAAGAGCGCGUAGGCGGCCGAGUAAGUCCGACGUGAAAUCUGGAGGCUCAACCUCCAGCGGUCGUUGGAAACUACUCGGCUAGAGUCCGGAAGAGGAGAGUGGAAUUCCUGGUGUAGCGGUGAAAUGCGCAGAUAUCAGGAAGAACACCGAUGGCGAAAGCAGCUCUCUGGGACGGUACUGACGCUGAGGCGCGAAAGCGUGGGGAGCAAACAGG